ensembl:lncRNA
CAGACACAGAGAUUUUAUAGCUUUUAUUUUACAAAUUUCAGCCACGAAUCAGAUAGAGUAAUACAAAGCUCACUACUUGGGAAAGAAUGGUUGGCUCCAAAUUUUUUGCUUCUGGCCAAUGGAAAAAGUUAAAGUUACCUGUUUAAAAGUUUAUUUUUUGUUGUAUUUUGGAGGUUGUUUUUGGGUUUUUUUCAAACUUCAGGCUUUCCUGAUUGAGUUAGCCAGUUAGGCAAUUGUUGGCUGUUAUCUCCUUAGGUGUUUACAUUCAAAGACCUGGUAAAGUUUACAACUUCAAAGGACAGAGAGAAAAAUGCAAGUUUUUUAAUUUGUCAUAGGAGUUUUGGGGUAAUUGUAAUUUAAAACAUUCCUUCAGUCUUAGGAAUUGAAUGUGGGUGAAGGAAGAGCAGAGACAGUGACAGUAGCGAAAGGAGUGUUGGCUGACUUUCCUACUUUGCAAGCCUUUGAGAGAGGUCUGACUUGGCCUGAGUUAAGAAUUAACAGCUUGCAGGAAAGCAACUUUUUCGUUGUUUCAUUUAGAGGCCUCAAGACACCAAUUAAAAUAAGCUUCCCAUUCGAUUCGUUUAGUUUGAUAACUUUUUCCAAUUGAGCACACAAGCAAACCAAUUUAGGAAUUUCAAAGGGGCCCCAUUUAGGCCAGUGAGACCUCAAAUCAUCCCAAGUAAUGCGAAUCUGGCAGGACAAAAAUCUACAUGUAGAAGGUCCGUAUUCUUUACACAAAACCACCAGGAGGCCCAGAGUGGGGGCUGCCCUUCAGUGGUCCCCUUAGAAGAUGGACUUCCCGUUCCUAAGUGCUCACCAAAGAAACAAAGGCCCAACAAAGGAGUGAAGACAAAUAGAUGUUCCUUAACAAAGCCAACAACGAAAGGACAGGAUGGCCAGAACUGGUAUCAAAGGACACCCGAAUAAAGAGUUUGAACCUCAACCAAAGAAUGGAAGGUUCCAGCCCAGGAGGUCUUACCACUGGGAGCUGGAGCCACCAGGAGGAGACAAUAAUGCACAUAACACUCUUUGCAGUUACCUUGCUCUUGUCCACGCAGUAACCCCAGAAUCAGAGGUCAGUCGCUCUGAAUCCCAUGUCUCUGACACCAUGUAACGUCAUGAAUAAGAGGCGUAAACUGCAAGAGAAGCAAAGCAUUUAUUUGAGGUCUCAAGAAUUGUACUUCAGGAUACACAGAUUUGAGUAGAAACUCAAAUGUGCUCCAAGGAAGACAAAGGAGACAGGAGUUUAUAGAGGCAAAAAGAGAAAUUAUAUAGGUUGCUUUGUAAGAUCUGUGAUUGGUGCCUGCAACAACUGUUAAUUCUUGGCUGUGCGUGAUCAGUUGUUGAGGCCAUCUCCAAGGCAGAAAGUUCUUAUCUACGGGAGUAAGCAUAUUUCUUGAAAGAAGGUCAGGAUGACAGCAGUUCAAAGGGUACAUUCCAUCUGGGUAAAGAUGUGCAUAAGCCCCACCACUCUAAUGGCCUCCCAACUCCGUUUUAGAAGCCUUGACGUAUGUUACUCCAUUUUGUUGUCAUUGUCUACACCAACCUGGUGAAACAGAACCCCUGCCCAUCACAUUUCAGCCUUUGAGUCUAGUCCAGGAUCAGAGAUCUUUUAUGAUGUCGCUCAACAGGAGAUUGGAGAGACAGAACCCAAUCCGGAUGUAUCCAAAGUAAGCACAAGAGUCAGGUUAGAUGAAUGGUGCUUUCUUCAGCAUUUUCCAUUAUUUUAUGGCAAAAAAGAAAACGAACUCUUUGUUAACUUUUACAAAUUCUCAGAAUCCCUUAGGAUAUAUUGCUGUCCUCACUGUACAAAAAUAAGAAGUUCCAGUUUGCACAAAGAAUGCGGGUCCAGGGCCUCAUCACUAGGAGAUGGGCUAAUGGUGAGCUACAGCUUGCUGACCAGGAGGCAGGCAGGAUGAUGAAAGUGCUCUGGAGUGUGGGAACUGGAAUUGGCCGCCCCAAGAUAUGUCUCUUUGGCAUGAAGAUUAUUUUGGGCUGGUUACUUUUUAAAAAACUGCAGACAGGAGAGAAACUCUGAAAAGCAGAGUUUACUUACCCUUUGUUAAGAAACAUUUACAUUGUAAAGGAAAUCUCCAUCUGUAAAUGUGUCUCCCUCUCUGUGCAGGAAGAAGGGGGGAUGACCUUAUCUCUAGGAACUCUUAUCAAUGCAGAAGGCAAGGACUUAAAUCUGCAUAAUAACCUGACCCUUGUUUACUGUACUUGUCUGGUAAUCUCCCGUAACUGACCCCCCCCCACCCCCAACAUCCUCCUUUGUCUUUAGCUGAAGAUGAUAUUUAACGUGGUGGCUUCAGCCAUUUUGGGGAGUUGCUCAGUUUGCCUGAGCCUCUCCCAUGUAUACAUGUUAUAAAGCUUUGUUUAAUUUUCUCCUGUUAUUCUGUCUCAUGUGAAUUUAUUUCAUUCUCCGGCCAGAAGAACCCAGAGUGGGUAAAGGAAAUGUCUUCCUCCCCUACAGUUGCAAUCAUUAACAAUUACAGGGAGAUGAUUCUGAAUAUUGCAUUGAAACUUUUUUGAAGAAGAAGAGAAAACCCUGAGCUAACAUCUGCCGCCAAUCCUCCUCCUUUUGCUGAGGAAUCUCAGCCCUGGGCUAACAUCCAUGCCCAUCUUCCUGUAUUUUAUGUGGGACGCCUGCCACAGCAUAGCUUGAUAGGCGGUGUAUAGGUCCGCACCCGGGAUCCGAACCGGCAAGCCUCAGGCUGCCAAAGUGGAGAGCACAAACUUAACUGCUACGCCACCAGGCCAGCCCCCAAAACUUUGCUUUAAAAUGGAAGAGAAUAGGCUGCUCUGUGAGAUAGUGAGCUCUCCAUCCCAAAGAUGUUUAAAAAGGGGUAAUUCUCGGGAACCGGCCCCUUGGCCAAGUGGUUAAGUUCACGUGCUCAGCUUGGGCAGCCCAAGGAACGGACCCUGGGCUGGUCAUGCCUUCACUGCCCCCUGCAUGGACGUCCCUUCACCCGCCGUGGGUGCUAACACGCUACUCCCUCCUCCCCACACACAUGUGGGCACCUGGGCUGCACAUUCCCCACAGGUCAUCCCCUCCAUGCAGAUGCCC